rnacentral:hammerhead_ribozyme from 1 species
GUUCGAGUCCCAAAUAGGACGAAACGCGCGUCAAAC